GCAUCCAUGGAGCAGCAGUCUAGCUCAUUCCCCUUCCAACCAUUUGGUGUAGUGGUUAGAGAAAGACCCGGGUGCAAACCCCGGUGGAUGCA